UAUUAUUUAGAAAAAGCUUUUUGUGAGGACUUUUUUUGUUUUGUUUUAUAUCUUCAUUGCUUACUUGCUUAUCUGCAAGUAAGCAAAAUGUAGCAGUCCCAGUCCUGUCAGACCCAUGCCACUAUCAAGCUUCCCACUGUCCUUUUGUCACACAGUAUCAUUAAGAUGCAGAAGAGAAAGAGGCAGUAGAAGAUUGACACCAUUUUCAAAAGAAAUCCUGAAGGAAUACAUGAAAACUGAGGACAGAAAUCUGUCCUUGCACAAAUCUUCGAUAAUAAGAAUUUUCCAGAACGUUGGCUGAGAUGAAACAGACCUCAUGAAUGGCCUCCAAGAAGUCCAGAUCUCAGUCCAUGUUAUUUUCUCCUGUGGGGCUAUGCAAAGGAGGAGGUGUACAAGACAAAGCCUUGCACACUGGAGGACUUAGAGGUCCAGAUUCAGGAGGUUCUCUCAGCA